rnacentral:rRNA from 1 species
AUGAACGCUGGCGGCGUGCCUAAUACAUGCAAGUCGAGCGAACAGACGAGGAGCUUGCUCCUCUGACGUUAGCGGCGGACGGGUGAGUAACACGUGGAUAACCUACCUAUAAGACUGGGAUAACUUCGGGAAACCGGAGCUAAUACCGGAUAAUAUAUUGAACCGCAUGGUUCAAUAGUGAAAGACGGUUUUGCUGUCACUUAUAGAUGGAUCCGCGCCGCAUUAGCUAGUUGGUAAGGUAACGGCUUACCAAGGCGACGAUGCGUAACCGACCUGAGAGGGUGAUCGGCCACACUGGAACUGAGACACGGUCCAGACUCCUACGGGAGGCAGCAGUAGGGAAUCUUCCGCAAUGGGCGAAUGCUUGACGGAGCAACGCCGCGUGAGUGAUGAAGGUCUUCGGAUCGUAAAACUCUGUUAUUAGGGAAGAACAAAUGUGUAAGUAACUAUGCACGUCUUGACGGUACCUAAUCAGAAAGCCACGGCUAACUACGUG